rnacentral:tRNA from 1 species
UGUGGCUCAGAGGUAGAGUGCUUGCCUAGCAUGCAUGAGAACUGAGUUUGAUUCUCAGCA